rnacentral:miRNA from 1 species
UCCAGUAAUAUGAUUUUUUCUGUGUUGGUUUUGUGUACUCAUCACAAACAUCAUAUUCGCCUGAGUACACAAAACCAACACAAAAAAAUCACAUUACUAGA